CAGAGUGUUUGCUGCAAAAUGAAGAUGAUGAAGCAACUGGAAUUUGUAUCUGCCAAGAGAGGCUUUGUCUUUACUUGCUUGGUUGCCAUUGGAAACUCUGCCUGACCAUGUGGUAACAUCACCCAUUUCCCAAGGUUCAGAAACCAAUGCGCCUCUGAAGGGAAGCAGAACGUUUCUCUCUUUACACCCUCUGAAAUAUGUGCUCCAGUCAUGAAGCAGAGAAUAUUACAGUGAAGACAGGGAGUUAAAUGAAGUUUGGAGACGGUAUAAUGAACCUCUGAAGUUAGAAAAUGAUACCAAUUCUGAUCUUUAAGCCCUGGAAUAGAAUCUGGCGAUGGA